UUGAAUGAUGAAACUUCAAAGAUAGGAAUUGCCGUCUGAUCGACAUAUGAAGCUACUGUCUUUCUGAUC